CCCUCGGAACCACACAAGGGAGGAAGCCUAGCUUCCUGCUUUCAUUUUCCAUUUCUUGACACUCGCCUUCCUGGACAAGUCCUGCGCUUAGAAAGAGGUCUGUGGUCAAGCAGAACCAAGCAGAGGUUAGAAAACAGCAGCCUGGCCUCAGCCCUGUCCUGCAAACAGCCAUGGCCGCCAAGGACGGGCCUCCUCGGGCACUGGGGCUGUCCCUGCCGUCAGCGACAGGUCUGGCGAGACCUGAUUAGAUCUGACACGGACACCGUGGUGGGGUGGCAUGCGUGCCGCGGGUUUAGACUCCUCUCCCCCGGUGCCACGGGAGCACAGUGGUAGAAGCAGGUGAUCCUGGCGAAGGAUCUGCCAACCCAAAUGCCUAGAGGCCACGCGGGGAUGGCAUUGAAGCAGCUGCAAAACGGCCAAUAUGCAGCGAGCAUCCAGGUAUGUCUGGCGUCGGUCCUAAGUGCUGGCGAUAGGAAGGCGGAUAAUGCCAGAAGGGAGGUGGGUGGGGCGGAGAGGAGGGGCCUGGGAACAGACCCCCGUGGGGGCGGGGGCAAGGGGUCAUUGGCUGAGGGUUCCUCAGUCCCUCAGCUGCAGGUUUUCCUUCCAGAAGCCCAAGGCAGGAAGGGCUGGGGCCAGAAGGACCUGGAACGUCAGAUCUGAGGUUCCUACCUGAGGGGGUGGGACGGGCCCUGUGCUUGUGUGUGUCCAUCCUGGGUGGCUCUGAAGUGGAGACUUUCAGUUUCCCUUUCAGUCCCAUACAUAUUUGGGCCCGGAGUUGUGUGUUAAUUACACACACCGCAGGUGACUGGGUCCACACGGCUAAAGAAAAGCCGGACGGUGUUCAGCUCAGAAGAUGAUUCCUUGGACAGCAGGACUGUGACCUGGCUUGGGAACAGGCUGGAGUGAGCUGAGUAACCUUCCUUAAAUAGCAGCCAGUAGAGGCCAGGAGACAGACGGACAUAUCAGGGUAAG